GAUGAAGAACGUAGCGAAAUGCGAUACUUGGUGUGAAUUGCAGAAUCCCGUGAACCAUCGAGUCUUUGAACGCAAGUUGCGCCCGAAGCCAUUAGGCCGAGGGCACGCCUGCCUGGGCGUCACACGUCGUCGCCCCCCCAUCUACUCCUUCGGGAUUGCGGGGGGCGGAUGAUGGCCUCCCGUGCGCCUCGUCGCGCGGUUGGCAUAAAUGCCAAGUCCUCGGCGACGCACGCCACGACAAUCGGUGGUUGCGAAACCUCGGUUGCCCGUCGUGUGCGGUCGUCGCGCAUCGAGGGCUCGAAAAAAUUGCCGGGCUCCGGCUCGGCUUUCAACGCGACCCCAGGUCAGGCGGGGUUACCCGCUGAAUUUAAGCAUAUCAAUAAGCGGAGGA
rnacentral:misc_RNA from 1 species